CGGAGUGGGGGGGGGGGGGAGGGAGAGGAGCCGGAGGGAAGGGGGAGGGUUGAACUUUCUGCCGGGCUCGGCUUUUCACACCUUUCUCUCCCCACCAUGCAAGAGGACGUUUGGGGAGAGAGCGGCUCGGCGGGGUCCCCUCCGAGCGGGUCCCCCUCGACCUUGCAGGGACCCGGCCGGGCGGCGCGGGGCUGGGAUUGCGCCGGGUUUCAAGGACACGGGAGAUGAUCGGGACUUUGGGAGCCAACAUCUGCCUGGCUGGUGACGUCAGCAGCCCCGUGUAAUCCUCUUGUACUGAAGGCAGAUGCCUUAUUUGUUUGGCUGGAGAGGCAUUAAUCCCUAAUUCUGGAGCAGCAAGCGAGGGGGAGAGACCGGACCGCUUCGUACCCCCCGAAAGCAGCUCGCGGGGCUCUCCUCCUCUCUCUGCGCUCUGCGGCUCCAGCUGGGCGGAGGAGCAGCCAGUCCUCGGCAGGCGGUCGCACGCAGGAGCUGCGGUGCCGAGGGGGGCCAGAGCCGCCUGCCCGGCUUACCCCCCGGAUGCCCGGGCAAGCCACCGAAAAGUCUCCGCGAAGCCCAGCUCGCCGCCGGAGCCCAGCCAAAGCGCACUCGCUUCGCCUCCUCUCCUCUCUUCUCCUCUCCCUCUCCCGGGCCAGGCUCGGAGGCAGCAGUCGAGGUCAGCCCGCACGGGUCGUGGGGUCCAGCCCGGGUCGAGCCCGCAGGGCGAUGCGCGGUGCCCGGCCGCCCCCCAGCUCCUCCCCGGCGUGCCAUCGGCACCAAACCAGAAGGGUCCCCGUCCUGAGCGGUGAAAGACGGCAACAACCGUGAUAAUAAUAAUAACAAUAAUAAUAAGCUUAGUGGUUUUUUUAUUUUUUUAUUUUUUUAAUUGUAAUGACUUCACCCCUCAUUUCCUCGCUCGCACAGUUCAGCGUAGGCAGGCCAGAUGGGCUGCCCAGACCCUCCCGGGAAAGGGGCAGGUGCGAGUGAGUUGAUUUUUUUUUUUUUUUCCGCUUUACAAAGAAAGAUGACAUGUCCCGUCCUUUCAUUUUUCACCGCCGACAUCCAGGCGAUGGGAGAGGGGAUGGAUGCUCCGGGGGUGCGGGUCACACGGCCCGGGCUCCAGCCGAGCCGCAGGAGCAGGGACACGGUCCCUCCCGGGCAGGGAUGCCAACCCAGAGACGUCGAGACGGGGAGAGCCAGCUCCUGCGUUUCAAAUCACGCGAAGACGCUGGCGAAAUUAACGCAGUCGCCUGGAAGUGCGUUAUAAGCACGCGCUUGAUUUCUAUGAUUUUUUUUUAAGCCAUUAAGUACAUAUGUAACAGCUUUCCGGGCACUGCAAACAACAGAUGGGCCAGUAGAAAAAUUCGAGCAUGAAUUACAUCCAGCCCAGGCCAGGAUGGGACUAGGGCGGAGGGGAAUUAUAUUUUUCUUCCUUUUUUUUUUUUUUUUUUUUUUUUUCGGGGUUCGGUUGCUAUUCUGUUUCCAGAGAGAGCGAGCGGGAGUGCUCCAAGGCUCCGACUCUCCGUGUUCACAGCGGACCUUGAUUUAAUGUCAUACAAUUAAGGCACGCGGUGAAUGCCAAGAGCGGAUCCUCCAGGCGGCAUUAAAGCUCUCGCCCGAACAUAGCACAGCACCACGAAUAAAAAGAGUAGCGCUAAGUGACACAUCAGAGAGGAGAGAAAAAAAAAAAAAAAAAAAAAAAAAAAAAAAGCAAUAAAGGGCUCGACGGUCUGUACUCACCUACGGAAAGCGCCACUGAAUAGGACUCGCGGCCGGGACGGCUGAGCCCCGUGGAGAGGAGGGGACCGCUGCCAGGGGAUGGCAGCUGUCAGCAGCAGGUAACGGGGACGUGGGGCAGUGCGGGAGCCGUGCGGUGGCAGCGGUGUCUUCCGAGGUGGCGGUGCCUCGACCUCUCGCUUUCCUGGGCUUAAAACCAUGUAAAGUCGACGACUGGGAAAUAAAUACAUUUUCUGCUAUGAUCAUCGCGAGGAAUUGUUCUUUGCGCAUCGCCCAGCCGGUGGCAGGAGCGCUGCGGGCUCGGCGGUGGCUCCUCCUUUCGGGGGGCUCCGCGGCACGAUCGUUCGGGGAUCGGGGGGGCGUUUUGUGCACCGGGGAGGGGGUAAAAAAGAAGGGGGGGCAGGGGAGGGCGGAGAAGGGGGAGUGAGGCUGGAAGCACAGCGCUGCAGGAGGGCAGCGGUGUGGCGGGGAGAGCGGAGCGAUGUGCGGCGUGCUUCGCAAGAUCUCAGGGAGCUGAGCAGGGAGCAGAGGAAAGUCUAUCUUCGCCUGCCUGUGUGUGAGCCAGAAUGAGCCACAGCCAAGACUGACCCUUGCACAGGUAGAAAGCGGGGAGGACUUUUAAAUACUGAGCGACACAAAGUGCUCAGUUAAACUCUUUGUAGGAUUACAAACCUGAGAUGAUCAUUCCUGCAUCAAGGCAUUGCGCCCACCACAACUCGCUUACAUUUUCUUUCUUGAAAACAGGUACUAAAGAUCUGUUAUAAAUAUUAUAUUGUUCCAUAGCAAAAUAAAUGUAGUAAAUAUGUACACAAAGGUGCCACUGCCAGUCUCUCAAUGUAGGCUUUAAAAAAUUUCUUAAAGCUUGGAAAGAGAUUGAACUUUCUUUGGAAUAGAUGGAGCCUUCUUUUGCAAAGCUUCCAAAGACAUGGAGCCUUGCCGCCUUCUAAAUUGUAGCAGCAGCAAAUGACGGUGGUGAUGGUGAUGUAGCACAUGAAAAAUGGUUGUAAAUAAGGUCUGAUCUAGCGAAGACCCAGGUGGUGGACAGAGCCAUCCAGAGCCGUGCAUUUCCCCCUCUAGUGUCAUGUUGCUGCCAUAGGAGUAUUGAGGUUCUGGUGGUGGCGUCUGAAUGUAACCUGCAUUUAAUAUUAACCACUUUCCUUCCUGUCUCGAAAAAAAUAAGGAAAACCCUGCCCUCAGAAGCUUAUCCUCGGGGCAGCCUGAUUCCCAAGGCUAACUCAAUCACGGCUUAGCGCUGCCUGCGAGCCCCCUCCGCAGGACGAAGCGUUAAGACCCCUCCUCCCAUCUUUCCAUCCCCCUUCCCCUUUCUGAACCGACGCCUACCCGGCGCUCCGCGCCCCUCCGCGCCCCUCCGCUACUGCAGUGCCCCCUGCCGGCCCUGCAGGGCGCACGGCGCAGCCCUGCGCAGCCUCCGCCGCAGAACUCGAGCCACUUCAAGUCUUUCACACUGCGGAGCGUGAAAUAUUUUCUUGCCCGUCCACUGGAAAUCAAGGCUCUCCCUCUCGUGUGAAGUCAGUGCUGUGAAAUAGCAGCUGUUACACAAAAAUAUGAAGGGCAACGGGCCUUUGUGAAGGGCAAUGGGCUAAAAUAUGAAGGACGACAUGCCUGUUGGGGAUGUUGAGGCAGUCCGGGGCAUCACUUUCACUCAGGGACAAAUGGUCCUACUACAACAAGGGGCAAAGUCAAGGUAAUACCCAGCUUCGGAAGAAGGGUUUCUUCAGAAGGAAGCCUUUAAAUUAAAAAUCAGACUAAUUAAAUGCCUGUGUUUCAUUUUAUUUCAUCUGUCCUCCUAUAUUCAAGGCCAUGGUCAAGGAAUGCAUAGAGCACAGGUAAGUGAGGCAAUAAGCAGAGCGAGCCCUCCAGCAGAACGAGCGCUCUUCCGCUGCCUGCACCCUGCAGAGCUUGCCCCAGGAGCAGGACCUUCCACCGAGCCUCCCCCAAGGGACGCGGAGGAGAAGCACUGUGUCCAGCACUUCAAGGCCUGGUGCAUGACUGCAGCUGCCACACUGCGGGACAGUGUGUGAGCCAGAAAGCAAGACAAAGCGAGCAUUGGAAAAAAGUCAUCUAAGGAUGCAAAAGUUUCAGGAAAUCAUAAAUGAAGGAAGACAAGUGGAUAGAACUGAAUAUACUUCACUGUUUUUACCGUCUUAGUCUACAUGACGGCUGUGUGUCCAGAUGCAAGACAGGAGCCUGCAACAUGAAGACUAUUCUACAGCUCAUGAGCAGCUGAAAGAGCAAAGAUGAAAGACUACCCAAGCUAAUCUGGAUGGAAACCGCAACGGUGCCUGGAAUAUUAUAGGAAUACAGAAGCUAAUAAUUUAUUCAGAAGAGUGCAACUGGUCCUGAGUAGAAAUAAGGACUGAGAUACAGUACAAAGUUAAAUGAAGAAAAAUAAAUCUCCAACUCCUGAAGUUUAUACUGUAACACAGAAAAGCACAGAAAGGAGACAAAGAGCAACAGAACUGUGAAAAUUGCAUUAUUAUUUUUUAAUUUACAAUGCAUUUUCUUCAUUUGUGUAUGCUCAUCUUUAUAUGUUGAGCUUAAGACAUUUGUGCAAGUAAAUUUCCAACAAACAUUAACUUUUUGUGGGCAAACUCAGGUCCAUAUGUGCAAGUUUCAACAUGCACACAUUUUCGAUGAAUUUAUUCAAGCACUCAUCCACUCAAAACGUAAGAACAACCUUGUUCAACCAGCAAAAUCCACAAUCAGGUUUUGAGUGGAUAAGGAAUGUCAAAAAGCUGUUUUCUGCUGAAAACUGAAACAUCCACUGGGCACGUUAAAAGAAGCUGUGUCUGUUCAUACAUAGGCUGGAUUCUGGACCACAACAUAUUUUUCCUUGAUCCCUAUGAAGAAAGAUGAAGUGCAAAGGAGAUGGAGAGCAGGGAUAAACCUUGAGUGUGGAGCCGUGAUUAUAACCCAAAGCCUGCCCUUGACGAGAGGAUAUGAAAGGUUUCUAAGGAAUAGGAAGACAAAUCUUUCUUUCUUCCUAUGUACAUCACAGAAAUGAGCAAUACCGAAAGACCUGGAAUUUAGAAAGACCAGUGAAGAAGGAGAGCAGUAGAUGAAUACAGACAGGGAAAUACAGAAACAGCUCCUGUGAAGCAAUUGCAAACAUCAGAGAUAAAUCAGAACAAAUGAAAGGGAAAGAUGGAUGAUCUUCCUUCUUCUGAAAUAAUCCCUGUAGAAUGAGCAGGAGAAAGUUGGCUUUGAAUUUGCUAGACUUAUACAGAAAUAUUAAAGUAUUGUGUUACACAUAUGCACAUUAAUUAAUGCAACACAAAUCAAUGUAAUGCACAACGAUAUUGCAUAUGAUCCCUUAUAUGAAAUCGGGUGUUUCCCUGCUGUAUUUCAGAGUUUACAUCCCUGUAUUUUCCUUUAGAAACUGUCUUACUAGCAGCCACCACUUUUCUGGCUAAGAACAACAAGGUGGGAUUUUAACCAUCAAAACUGCUCAGCUAAGGAGUCAAGUUGUGUUAAAUGAACCCCCUGCCCCGGAUGAGACAGAAAUUAGCUGAAAUGUUUGAAUUGCACGCAGCAUUGCUGUGCCCUUUGACUACGAGGAGAGCUGGCACAUUUAGAAAGUGAUUGCAAUGGCAGGGAGGGGUUAGUAGACAUCAUACUAAUGGUUUAUGUUUUCCUAAGGUUCUAGGAAAAAAACAACAACAACAACAAAACACAGGUAUCUGGAGAGAUGGUUUGGCAGCUACUACUGAAUUUCUUAUUUUUUCCAUUUGCUCAACAAUGAGAAAAAGUCUAAUAAAAUAAAUAUUCUUACAGGGCCAAAAAAUGUCUGAGCUCUCCCAAGCAGGCUGCUUCAUAAAAAUAAACAUGAAAAAUAUAGAGCAAAGUCUUAGGAUGACUAAGGAAAAGUCACUUGACAUUCUUUUUUAAAACAUAUGUAUUCUGGCUUGACUGUGAAGUUUUUAAAAGGCAUUUGGAAAAGUUCAUCAUUUAUGAGAAAAAUCUGCCUUUGUAAAGAGAUCAGAGUUUUGCAGAUAGGAUCCUUAUUUAUUAUUUCAACAUAGCUUCUCAGGGGUGCCCAACCACUGAAACAAGAAAAAGUAAUUUUAUGAAGUUUCUUUACCCUCUUUUCUUCCUCUGAGUAUGAUGCACCAGGACUGCCUUGCCUUCCUGUAAGGCCAGCAGAGCCAAGUUGGCGGCCUCAGACAAAGCUAUUGCUAGACAACUGACAUCUAAAUUCAUCAAUAUUUAUAAUCUUCCAUCAAAUGGCUGCUUCUCACCAUAGAGAACCUCAGCGGUAAUACCUUGCUGAUGAUAAGGCCUCAUUUCAGUAUUGGUACCAGUCCAGGUUACCGACCUAAAGCACUUGAGAUCUGCCUACCCUGGCAGGGGUACAUAAAUCUGUGUGUGUGUGUGUGUGUGUGACACAGCCAUUCAGCUGUGUCCCCAGUGCCCCAGUUUGGGAAGCACAAGUACAGCUUAUGAAAGUUUCUCAAUUCCCAACAUAAGAAAGCUGUGACCUCUGCAGUGCUGGUUAUUACAGAAGCUCUGUCGCUGGAAGUGAGUAAGAAGAAAGUGGAGCAGGUAUUUACACAGAUCAGUCACGGGCAGAGCAGGUGAGCAACAUUACAAGUGUUACUUUUUCAGGGUAUAAUUCAUGUGAUUCUAUCUGUAAAUCUCUGCUACUCAUGUGAUGCAACUGUUUAUAGCAAAGUAGGGAUGGUAGAAACUGUUUAAUCCAACUGUCUAAUGUACGGGCAAUUAUCCAAAACCACAUAUUUUCUAAAUUCUAUAUGGGCAGAGAUGGAGCUUAAGAGCUCUGUCAGGAUCAGAGCUGCUAACAAACUUCUAAGAAGUGCUCUGGGGAUUGGGAUGUGCAUAACAACAAAAUCUGAAUAUUCAGUGUGAAGAACACUCCUGAUUUAGCUACAGUCUAUGUAAAUUAAAUUUUUACUUAAUGCUUGUCACUAUGCAUUACACUUUAGACUUUUUCAUGGAACAGCAGUGGAAGAAAUUGGGUAGCCUGUGAUUUUUCCCUCUUUUAUUAUUAGUAUAGAUGAUACAGAGACCUGGGAAACUUGGUCAAGGACACUGUUGGAAAUACUAUUAUGCAACCAAAUUCUCCUGCCAGCUCCUCCCUUUUCAGGUUACAGCAUCACGUUACAGCUAGCUACCUGUUUAUUUAUUCCCAUGUGUCAUAUUUAGACAUGAAAUACAUCUGCAUUUAUUUAUAGCUAUAACCACAAUACAUUUCUAAUAUAUCUACAAAACUGAACAGUUCUAGAGAAGCUAAAAAAUACUGGAUUUACAAAAGAAGAAGAGGAAAAAGUUUUCCAAAAUAUUUUAUCCUAUGUUUUCUUCUAUCACUCCUUUGACAAAACUAGGCAUAUUUAACUUACUAAAGUCCAAAGACAUCCCUGGUGUUCACUUUUAGUUCUAAUCCAGUUCUUUUGUUACUGAACCAGUUCAGAAAAACAUCUCUGUUCAGGAAAGCACUGAAACAUACACUUAAACACAUUCUUAAAGGUAAGUGACUUAUUGAAUCAGACUUAUAAUUUAAAAUAGUAUUAAUAAACACUCCUUAAUAAACAAU